CUUUACAUGAUCCUGAAGUGCCCUCCGACACAAAUCAAAGCUGAUCUCUCCUGCUAGGUGCCGAGUUCUUCAAAGGACUGUGGGCUCCGUCCAUCUCUGCAUCCUCAGCAUUUCUAUACCUACUGAAAGAAACCACUGCAGGGCCUUCACAUGCUCCAACGAACAUCUCAAAAGGGUCAACCAAUUGCUGUGCUUAAAAGGCUCUAGAAGGAGGCACUAGCUGGAAAAAACUAGGUCCACGGCUGCAAUGCAGAUGCUCCUGCCCACCUCUAGCUGAGCUGGGAGCAACGGUGGCAGGCAGCGGCUCAGAAGCUAAAAGGACAGAGCAGAAGACGGGACCAAGGCACCCCCACCUUCCAUCCUAGCUGAGCUAGAAGAAAGUCAAGUCUAGGAGGGUGACUCCUCACUCCUCAGACGAAGGGCUUGCUAUGAUACAACAGCUGUGUGUUCCAGCCUGUCUACCCCGCCACUCCUUCUGACCAGACUCUGCUGUCAAGCUCUCCAGAUAAAGGCCAAAAGGGUCAUUGUGGGCGUGGAGAGGUAAGGAGGAUUGGUCUUCCAAAGCCCUAAGUCCUGUCUGUAUGUGAAGCUAGGCUCAGAUCCUAGGCCUUCCAAGCCAAAGGGGGAUUUGACAGAAUAAGGACUCAGUCUAAGGCAGAGAUAGGAACUGUCCUACAUCCCCAUGGCUGAGUUCCUCUUCCUCUCUGGAUCCCCUUCCCAGAUGAGAGGAGAGGGCUGGGAGAGCGAUUGAGGGAAGCAGGUCAUUCACAGGAG